rnacentral:misc_RNA from 1 species
GCGCAACAACUUCUACCCGGCAUACCUCUUCAGUCUUGUGUCAAUGCUUGUAUUGCAUUGAAUGCACGGUGGGUUUCUUGUGUUGCAUGCCUAAUUAAUGGUAUCGCUUGAUGAAUUGGUAUUCCUUUCGUCUUGUGUCGCCUAUGCGAUGUGAGAUGAACCUUAAAGCAGCCUUUUUGAUCCACUCUUUUGAUGGAAACGCAUUGAUUUUGUGGCCCAUUGAGUGUUGCUUGGUCUCAUGGAUAUGGAACCUGGUGUGGGUAUGGAAUCUUACUGGUUCCUUGUUUGCCCAAGUUUAGCUUUUCUAAAACGAUUGUCUAUCAUGUGUUAAUGUGGUAGACAGCUUCGAACAUGAAUGCUACCUGGUUGAUCCUGCC